UACAGAGGGGGCAAGCGUUAUUCGGAAUUAUUGGGCGUAAAGGGCGCGUAGGCGGCAUGGCAAGUGGAUGGUGAAAUCCCUCGGCUUAACCGAGGAACUGCCCUCCAAACUGCUUGGCUUGAGUCCGGGAGAGGUGAGUGGAAUUCCCAGUGUAGCGGUGAAAUGCGUAGAUAUUGGGAAGAACACCUGAGGCGAAGGCGGGUUGCUGGGCUGAUACUGACGCUGAGGCGCGAAAGCCAGGGGAGCAAACGGG
rnacentral:rRNA from 1 species